GGGGGGGGUGGGGGGGGGGGGUGGGGGGGGGGGGGGGGAGGGAGGGAGUGGGGGGAGGGGGUGGAGGGGGGGGGGGGGGAGGGGGUGGAGGGAGGGGGUGGAGGGGGGGGAUGGGGGGGGGGGGGGGGCGGAUGGGGGGGAGGGGGGGGGUGGGGGGGGGGGGGGGUGGGGGGGGGGGGGAGGGGGGGGGGGGAGGGGGGGGAUGGGGGGGGUGGGGGGGGGGGGUGGGGGGGGGGGGUGGGGGGGGGGGGUGGGGGGGGGGGGGGGGGUGGGGGGGGG
rnacentral:lncRNA from 1 species